CGCGUAGGCGGCUUGCCAAGUCAGUGGUGAAAUCCCGCAGCUUAACUGCGGAAGUGCCUUUGAUACUGGCGAGCUCGAGGGAGGUAGGGGUAUGUGGAACUUCUGGUGAAGCGGUGAAAUGCGUUGAUAUCAGAAGGAACGCCGGUGGCGAAAGCGACGUACUGGACCUCUUCUGACGCUGAGGCGCGAAAGCUAGGGGAGCAAAACA
rnacentral:rRNA from 1 species